rnacentral:tRNA from 1 species
GCCUGGGUGGCUCAGUUAGUUGAGCAUCUGACUUCGGCUCAGGUCAUGAUCUCAUGGUUCGUGAGUUCGAGCCCCGCAUUGGGCU